UGCCAGCCGCCGCGGUAAUACGGAGGGGGUUAGCGUUGUUCGGAAUUACUGGGCGUAAAGCGCGCGUAGGCGGACAUUUAAGUCAGGGGUGAAAUCCCGGGGCUCAACCCCGGAACUGCCUCCAAAACUAUUGGUCUAGAGUUCGAGAGAGGUAAGUGGAAUUCCGAGUGUAGAGGUGAAAUUCGUAGAUAUUCGGAGGAACACCAGUGGCGAAGGCGGCUUACUGGCUCGAUACUGACGCUGAGGUACGAAAGUGUGGGGAGCAAACAGGAUUAGAUA
rnacentral:rRNA from 1 species